AUGAAAGCACAGGAACGAAUCUGGGAUGCAGAAAGUCAGGGGGUGCCCCGGCCACCCCCGAGAUCUACGCCCCCUGCCUACACGACGCUCUGCCGAUCGGCUGACCACGGUGUGUCUUUGGCACCAGAGGCUCAGGAUGAGGAAGGAGAGCCCCUGGCUGGCCAACUAUCCCGCUGGGGCGGCAGUGUGCAGACAGUGCUUAAAACAGAACUUUCCCUUCAAAUCAGAUCUGCCCCCAGCCCCAUGGAGAGAACCAAUAAAAGGCCCCUGCUCUGUGUGAAAUGUGUGUGUGGGUGCUACCCCUCCCAUCAGGCUGGCUUCAUGUCCAGGUGACCCAGCCCUGCCCUAAGAAGGGAGCCCCAAGCGUAGGGCUUCAUGCUGCGCUUUCACUGUCCUGAAACGCUUCAUGUCAUCUUUGAGUUUGUGUUAAGUGGAGUCUAGUGGAAUAAUGGAGCACGUGCUGGCAGCACAGAGUCUCAGCUGCCUCCCCAGGAUGGGUACUCAGCUGCCUGCUCCCCCACCCGCUACCUGCAGCAGGGGCUCAGAUGCAGGCAGGAGGGUCGGGGGCAGGUGCGUCUGCACCCGUGAGGUCUGCACUCACCCUGAAAGUAUCUUGUACCCAGGGGGUGAGACAAUAAAUAGCA
rnacentral:lncRNA from 1 species